GCAGUAGCCACGGUAAUACGAAGGGUGCAAGCGUUAAUCGGAAUUACUGGGCGUAAAGCGUGCGUAGGCGGUGAGUUAAGUCUGCUGUGAAAUCCCCGGGCUCAACCUGGGAAUGGCAGUGGAUACUGGCUCGCUAGAGUGUGUCAGAGGAUGGUGGAAUUCCCGGUGUAGCGGUGAAAUGCGUAGAGAUCGGGAGGAACAUCAGUGGCGAAGGCGGCCAUCUGGGACAACACUGACGCUGAGGCACGAAAGCGUGGGGAGCAAACAGGAUUAGAUACCCCCGUAGUCCUGUCUCUUAUACC
rnacentral:rRNA from 1 species